rnacentral:lncRNA from 1 species
AUAAAAGGGACAAGGUUGUACCAACGACAGCAGUUGACUGUACAUACAGUUGUAAGGCAUCAUGAUGGCACUCUCUGUGACUAAGUUCAUGCUACUGGCUGUUACUGUCCUCGCUGUCCACAGAGCAGAGGGACGGCUGGUCUCCAAAUGCGAGCUGAAGAAUGAGCUGGAGGCAGCAUUCCAAUUAAACCAGUCCUUUGGAAACCAGUCCUUUGGAAACCAGUCCUUUGGAAACCAGACCCUUGGAAACCAGUCCACACUGGAUGUUGUGGCAAAGAUUGUCUGUAAGGUACAGCUGACUUCUGGUUUCAACACAAGCCUUGUGACUCAGCUGGCCCCUGCUACCGCUGGUACGAAGAAGCCGGGGUAUGAUAAUUCAAAUCACAAGAACCAGCCUCCCAAGAGACGAGCACGUGAUACCAGGAGACAACAGUCCGAGGGAAAGAAUAAAGGCGAAAAACAAUACGGAAGCUCUGAAAGCGAGGAAGACAAUCAUGGCAACCAUGGCAACGUGACGCCACCCACUCCUACGGUCAGCCUCUACGGCCUCUUCCAGUUGAGUGGUUCUGUGGCUUGUUCGGAUGGUGUCAACCCCUCAAGUAACAUCUGCAAUAUUCCCUGCUCUGCACUGACUGAUGGCAAUAUCUAUGACGAUGUUGCCUGCUACAAGAGAAUCACUGGCAGCAGCCUGAAGCAACCGGAAGGGCUUCCACAGCAGUGUGCCGGAGUUGUGUACUCCACCUACUUCUCAGAAUGUCUGUAAAACAAAGCCAAGGGAGGCAUCACUGCUUGCAAGGUGUUCCAUGAUGAUUCACAUUAACGCUUCCUUCCAAAAUUGCCUUUCGUAACCACUUCUUUGGGUUGGGUUUCCGAAGUUGAGAUUUUUAGCUCAAAAAUGAAUAAGAAAAAAUAAACUUAGCAAGAUUUAAAAUAUUUUUCUCUCC